rnacentral:lncRNA from 1 species
AUGGGGAAAUUGAAGCGUAAGCUCUUUGGAAAGGGAAAGCAGAGGAAUGCAUCCUCUGGUGAAAAUGCACCAAUGCUUUCCCAAGCGAUGCCCGAGAAGCAGGAAACCCAUGGCUUUCAGGGAAUUAAAAAUAUAGCAGGUGCACUGCUGAAGAAGGCAAAGAGUGAGAAGGAAGAUGAUAGAGAGAAGCUUGUGGCCACACAGGAGCCAAAAUCCUCAGAUGAAGCCAUUUGUCAAGUCAUAGAUCAAAAGAAUUUUUUUGAUGCUUGUAAUCAUAUUUUUGAUCUGGAACAAUCUACACCUGUGGAUAAAGCUAAGAUUGAUGCACUUUACAACAAACUAGAAGAGAGAAUGUGGGAAGUUGUGAAAAGAGCAGUUCAGAGUGGUGAUGGUGUGUUACUAGAGCCCCUGAAAUCAGUAGCUGCCUCACUGGAGUGGCAGAAACAGAAAAAAAAAGAAGAGUUUGAUAGUAACAAUGAAAUGGAAGACACUUCAACCUGGAGACCAAAGUACUGGAAUAAGGAUCUGGAGAAUCUGUUAAUAGACUGCAUGGCAGCACAGUUCCCCUCUGCUGAAUCUGCCAUUAGCACAGAUGACAUGGCACUAAGAAAACAUCUGAAGCGACUGGAAACCACAGUUCUUCCCACCUUGGAAUGCAGAAGAGCUUUCUUCAAAGAAGCAGGAUUGCUCACCAGCUACAGGAAAUGCUGUAAUGUCUGCUUAUCUUCUCACCUUACCACCCUUACAGACUGUGACUUUAACUUUAGCAGAUGUCUUUUAGUUUAUGAAUGGGGCCUUAAGAUGUGCAAAAGUGAGAAGCUUCUGCAACCCAGUUGGACUGUGGAGCAGAAGGUCUCCGUGGAAGCCCUGUGUCUUGUGCGGAUUUUUUCAGAUCUGGAGGAAAAACUACUUGCAGCUGCAAAGGAGGAAGUAAGAGAAGCACUGAAAGAAGCCAUUACUCCCAGGAAAAAACUGAUCACAGACACUGCAGUUGUUAAGAUAUUGACAGAAGGGACAGAAGCUGUCCGGCAUAUCAGUGAGAGACUGAGGGAGAGAGUGGAAGUGGCAUGUCUGGAGGGAUUUCGGCAGUUUCUGUGUAGCAGGGUCCCAUCAAGCCACAGAGCUUAGCUCUGCUGCGGUGUGCCGAUUUUAAAUAUUUGUUUCUUAGACUAAGAAGUUUCUUCACGUUCCUUGGAUUGUGCAACUAUGUGG